CAGCCAUACCGCGUGGGUGAAGAAGGCCUUCGGGUUGUAAAGCCCUUUUGUUGGGAAAGAAAUCCAGCUGGCUAAUACCCGGUUGGGAUGACGGUACCCAAAGAAUAAGCACCGGCUAACUUCGUGCCAGCAGCCGCGGUAAUACGAAGGGUGCAAGCGUUACUCGGAAUUACUGGGCGUAAAGCGUGCGUAGGUGGUCGUUUAAGUCCGUUGUGAAAGCCCUGGGCUCAACCUGGGAACUGCAGUGGAUACUGGGCGACUAGAAUGUGGUAGAGGGUAGCGGAAUUCCUGGUGUAGCAGUGAAAUGCGUAGAGAUCAGGAGGAACAUCCAUGGCGAAGGCAGCUACCUGGACCAACAUUGACACUGAGGCACGAAAGCGUGGGGAGCAAACAGGAUUAGAUACCCUGGUAGUCCACGCCCUAAACGAUGCGAACUGGAUGUUGGGUGCAAUUUGGCACGCAGUAUCGAAGCUCGCGUUAAGUUCGCCGCCUGGGGAGUACGGUCGCAAGACUGAAACUCAAANNNAAUUUGACGGA
rnacentral:rRNA from 1 species